rnacentral:rRNA from 1 species
AUUGAACGCUGGCGGCAUGCCUUACACAUGCAAGUCGAACGGUAACGCGGGGCAACCUGGCGACGAGUGGCGAACGGGUGAGUAAUGCAUCGGAACGUGCCCAGUAGUGGGGGAGUAGCCCGGCGAAAGACCGGAUUAAUACCGCAUACGACCUACGGGUGAAAGACGGGGGACCGGUAAGGCCUCGCGCUAUUGGAGCGGCCGAUGUCAGAUUAGGUAGUGGUGGGGUAAAGGCCUACCAAGCCUUCGAUCUGUAGCUGGUCUGAGAGGACGACCAGCCACACUGGGACUGAGACACGGCCCAGACUCCUACGGGAGGCAGCAGUGGGGAAGUUUUGGUACAAUGGGCGGCAAGCCUGAUCCAGCCAUGCCGCGUGCGGGAAGAAGGCCUCGG